AGAAUCAACGCUGGCGGCGUGCCUAACACAUGCAAGUCGAACGAGAAAGUGGAGCAAUCCAUGAGUAAAGUGGCGCACGGGUGAGUAACACGUGACUAACCUACCCUUGAGUGGGGGAUAACCUAGAGAAAUCUGGGCUAAUACCGCAUAAUACCUUCGGGUCAAAGGAGCAAUUCGCUUAAGGAGGGGGUCGCGGCCGAUUAGUUAGUUGGCGGGGUAAUGGCCCACCAAGACUAUGAUCGGUAUCCGGCCUGAGAGGGCGCACGGACACACUGGAACUGAAACACGGUCCAGACUCCUACGGGAGGCAGCAGUGGGAAUUUUGCGCAAUGGGGGAAACCCUGACGCAGCAACGCCGCGUGGAGGAUGAAGUCCCUUGGGACGUAAACUCCUUUCGAUCGGGACGAUAAUGACGGUACCGAGAGAAGAACGCCCGGCUAACUUCGCGCCAGCAGCCGC
rnacentral:rRNA from 1 species